ACUCACUGCUACCUUCGUCCCAGAAUAUAUAUAGUAGGUACUUCCUCUGUUUAUGAUUAGUAUUUUUAUUGUUAUUAGAUAAUAAAACAUAAAUAGAAUUUUAUGUGUGACUAAUUUUUUAAAAAAAUUUAUAAAUUGUUCAAAUAAGACGAACAGUCAAACGUUAGACAUGGAAUUCCACGGCUGCACUUAUU
rnacentral:pre_miRNA from 1 species